UACGUAGGGCGCAAGCGUUGUCCGGAAUUAUUGGGCGUAAAGAGCUCGUAGGCGGCCUGUUGCGUCCGCUGUGAAAUCCCGGGGCUCAACCCCGGGCGUGCAGUGGAUACGGGCUGGCUGGAGGCAGGCAGGGGAGAACGGAAUUCCUGGUGUAGCGGUGAAAUGCGCAGAUAUCAGGAGGAACACCGGUGGCGAAGGCAAUCCCCUGGGCCUGCACUGACGCUCAUGCACGAAAGCGUGGGGAGCAAACAGG
rnacentral:rRNA from 1 species